rnacentral:rRNA from 1 species
AUUGAGCGCUGGCGGCAUGCCUUACACAUGCAAGUCGAACGGCAGCAUGGAGAGCUUGCUCUCUGAUGGCGAGUGGCGAACGGGUGAGUAAUGCGUCGGAACGUACCGUGUAAUGGGGGAUAACGUAGCGAAAGUUACGCUAAUACCGCAUACGACCUGAGGGUGAAAGCAGGGGAUCGCAAGACCUCGCGUUAUACGAGCGGCCGAUGUCAGAUUAGCUAGUUGGUGAGGUAAAGGCUCACCAAGGCGACGAUCUGUAGCGGGUCUGAGAGGAUGCUCCGCCACACUGGGACUGAGACACGGCCCAGACUCCUACGGGAGGCAGCAGUGGGGAAUUUUGGACAAUGGGGGCAACCCUGAUCCAGCCAUGCCGCGUGAGUGAAGAAGGCCUUCGGGUUGUAAAGCUCUUUCGGCCGGGAAGAAAUCGCACAGGCUAAUACUCUGUGUGGAUGACGGUACCGGCAUAAGAAGCACCGGCUAACUACGCGCCAGCCGCCGCCGUAA